UUGAACGCUGGCGGCAGGCCUAACACAUGCAAGUCGAGCGGUAGCACAGAGAGCUUGCUCUCGGGUGACGAGCGGCGGACGGGUGAGUAAUGUCUGGGAAACUGCCUGAUGGAGGGGGAUAACUACUGGAAACGGUAGCUAAUACCGCAUAAUGUCGCAAGACCAAAGUGGGGGACCUUCGGGCCUCAUGCCAUCAGAUGUGCCCAGAUGGGAUUAGCUAGUAGGUGGGGUAACGGCUCACCUAGGCGACGAUCCCUAGCUGGUCUGAGAGGAUGACCAGCCACACUGGAACUGAGACACGGUCCAGACUCCUACGGGAGGCAGCAGUGGGGAAUAUUGCACAAUGGGCGCAAGCCUGAUGCAGCCAUGCCGCGUGUGUGAAGAAGGCCUUCGGGUUGUAAAGCACUUUCAGCGGGGAGGAAGGCGUUAAGGUUAAUAACCUUGGCGAUUGACGUUACCCGCAGAAGAAGCACCGGCUAACUCCGUGCCAGCAGCCGCGGUAAUACGGAGGGUGCAAGCGUUAAUCGGAAUUACUGGGCGUAAAGCGCACGCAGGCGGUCUGUCAAGUCGGAUGUGAAAUCCCCGGGCUCAACCUGGGAACUGCAUUCGAAACUGGCAGGCUAGAGUCUUGUAGAGGGGGGUAGAAUUCCAGGUGUAGCGGUGAAAUGCGUAGAGAUCUGGAGGAAUACCGGUGGCGAAGGCGGCCCCCUGGACAAAGACUGACGCUCAGGUGCGAAAGCGUGGGGAGCAAACAGGAUUAGAUACCCUGGUAGUCCACGCCGUAAACGAUGUCGAUUUGGAGGUUGUGCCCUUGAGGCGUGGCUUCCGGAGCUAACGCGUUAAAUCGACCGCCUGGGGAGUACGGCCGCAAGGUUAAAACUCAAAUGAAUUGACGGGGGCCCGCACAAGCGGUGGAGCAUGUGGUUUAAUUCGAUGCAACGCGAAGAACCUUACCUGGUCUUGACAUCCACAGAACUUUCCAGAGAUGGAUUGGUGCCUUCGGGAACUGUGAGACAGGUGCUGCAUGGCUGUCGUCAGCUCGUGUUGUGAAAUGUUGGGUUAAGUCCCGCAACGAGCGCAACCCUUAUCCUUUGUUGCCAGCGGUCCGGCCGGGAACUCAAAGGAGACUGCCAGUGAUAAACUGGAGGAAGGUGGGGAUGACGUCAAGUCAUCAUGGCCCUUACGACCAGGGCUACACACGUGCUAAAAUGGCAUAUACAAAGAGAAGCGACCUCGCGAGAGCAAGCGGACCUCAUAAAGUGCGUCGUAGUCCGGAUUGGAGUCUGCAACUCGACUCCAUGAAGUCGGAAUCGCUAGUAAUCGUGGAUCAGAAUGCCACGGUGAAUACGUUCCCGGGCCUUGUACACACCGCCCGUCACACCAUGGGAGUGGGUUGCAAAAGAAGUAGGUAGCUUAACCUUCGGGAGGGCGCUUACCACUUUGUGAUUCAUGACUGGGGUG
rnacentral:rRNA from 1 species